ensembl:lncRNA LINC01435 long intergenic non-protein coding RNA 1435
UGGUAGCAGAAGAAAACCAAGAGGCCUCUCUACGAAAGCUUGCAGUAAGGAGAAAGUUCUGGAGACUGGGAAGAGCAACACAAAGAUAUUCAGUUGCUUGGUGAGAGCUGCUCUCUGCUUCCAAGGCGGCACCUUGUUGCUGCAUUCUCCAAUGGGAAGGAACGCUGGGUCCUCACAUGACAGAAGGUGGAAAGGAUGUAAUGAAGUUAUUCCGAGAGUUAGCACCUCUGUAUGCUCAGGAUCUCUGUCCAGUGAAUCCCUUGCCAUUCUAAUGGCAUGGGCGACGCGAUGCCACAGUGUGACUUUUUGCAUCUUCAGAAAGAUACACAUAAACAGGAAGUCCUGGGAAGAGAAGAUGUUAGCUGUGUCUUUCUACCACCCAGAGGCUUCACCUCUAUCAUGCUUCUAAAAUAAAAUACCAGGUUGAUGUUCUGACCAUGGGCCAUAAACCAGGGUUAAGGAAGCCCAAGGAGACUGGUCUUCUUCUCAAGGCAUCCUCUCUUCUUUGUUAAGGACACUCCACAGUUUUAGGAUCUCACCAUGAGACAACAUGGGACUCAGCAUCCUUUGCACCCUGCAUGUGAACAGAGAUGCCCGUUUGGCGCAAGAAUGGGAGGCAACUAAAACCAACCAGAUAUACUCGGAGACCAGGACUUUAUUUCUCUGAAUCUUAAUUUCCCAUUCUAAGAGGAAAGAAUUAGACACGACUGACCU